rnacentral:rRNA from 1 species
GGGUCGGUUCGGCCGGAUUUUACACADGUGUUGCAUGGCUGUCGUCAGCUCGUGUCGUGAGAUGUUGGGUUAAGUCCCGCAACGAGCGCAACCCUCAUCCUUAGUUGCUAUCAGGUAAUGCUGAGUACUUUAAGGAAACUGCCAGUGAUAAGCUGGAGGAAGGUGGGGAUGAUGUCAAGUCAUCAUGGCCUUUAUGGAGUGGGCUACACACGUGCUACAAUGGUGUCUACAAUGGGCUGCAAGGUGCGCAAGCCUAAGCUAAUCCCUAAAAGACAUCUCAGUUCGGAUUGUACUCUGCAACUCGAGUACAUGAAGUUGGAAUCGCUAGUAAUCGUGGAUCAGCAUGCCACGGUGAAUACGUUCUCGGGUCUUGUACACACUGCCCGUCACGCCAUGG